GCUUACAGCCAUACCAACCAAAGAACGCUCGGUCUCGUCUGAGCUCUGAAGCUAAGAAGGCUUGGGCCUGAUUUCUUCUUGGAUGGGAGACUGCCUGGGAAUACCAGGUGCUGUAAGCU
ensembl:rRNA 5S_rRNA 5S ribosomal RNA